UUCUGGUUGAUCCUGCCAGAGGCGACCGCUUUUGGAGUUCGAUUAAGCCAUGCGAGUCGAGAGCCUUAGGGGCUCGGCAUACUGCUCAGUAACACGUGGAUAACCUGCCCUAUUGUCUGGAAUAACCUCGGGAAACUGAGAACAAGGCCGGAUAGCCCACAAUGCCUGGAACGGUUUGUGGGUGAAGAUAGGAUGGGUCUGCGGCGUAUCAGGUCGUAGGGGGUGUAAUGGACCUCCUAGCCAUCGACGCGUACGGGUGUUGGGAGACAUAGCCCGGAGAUGGAUUCUGAGACACGAAUCCAGACCCUACGGGGUGCAGCAGGCGCGAAAACUUCACACUGCAGGAAACUGUGAUGAGGGAACUCCAAGUGCAUUCACUAUGUGGAUGCUUUUUUUGACUAUUAAUCGGUCAACGAAUAAGGGCUGGGAAAGACCGGUGCCAGCCGCCGCGGUAAUACCGGCAGCUCAAGUGGUCGUCGCUUUUAUUGGGCCUAAAACGUCCGUAGCCUGUUUGGUAAAUCUGUGGGUAAAUCAACCAGCUUAACUGGUUGAAUUCUGCAGAGACUGCCAGACUAGGGACCGGGAGAGGUGUGGGGUACUCUAGGGGUAGGGGUAAAAUCCUGUCAUCCUUAGAGGACCACCAGUUGCGAAGGCGCCACACUGGAACGGAUCCGACGGUCAGGGACGAAGCCUAGGGGCACGAACCGGAUUAGAUACCCGGGUAGUCCUAGGUGUAAACGCUGUGAACU
rnacentral:rRNA from 1 species